rnacentral:rRNA from 1 species
GAUGAACGCUGGCGGCGUGCUUAACACAUGCAAGUCGAACGAAGCGUCCCGCCCGAUGAAAUGGAGAGCUUGCUCAAAGUAGAUUCAAUUGGGACGACUUAGUGGCGGACGGGUGAGUAACGCGUGGGAAACCUGCCCUAUACAGGGGGAUAACAGCCGGAAACGGCUGCUAAUACCGCAUAAGCGCACGGUGCCGCAUGGCGCAGUGUGAAAAGCUCCGACGGUAUAGGAUGGUCCCGCGUCUGAUUAGCCAGUUGGCGGGGUAACGGCCCACCAAAGCGACGAUCAGUAGCCGACCUGAGAGGGCGACCGGCCACAUUGGGACUGAGACACGGCCCAAACUCC